rnacentral:rRNA from 1 species
GACGAACGCUGGCGGCGUGCUUAACACAUGCAAGUCGAACGGAAAGGCCCUGCUUGCAGGGUGCUCGAGUGGCGAACGGGUGAGUAACACGUGGGUGAUCUGCCCCUUACUUUGGGAUAAGCCUGGGAAACUGGGUCUAAUACUGGAUAGGACCAUGCUGUAGGUGGUGUGGUGGAAAGAUUAGUUUCGGUAAGGGAUGAGCUCGCGGCCUAUCAGCUUGUUGGUGGGGUAAUGGCCUACCAAGGCGUCGACGGGUAGCCGGCCUGAGAGGGUGGACGGCCACAUUGGGACUGAGAUACGGCCCAGACUCCUACGGGAGGCAGCAGUGGGGAAUAUUGCACAAUGGGCGCAAGCCUGAUGCAGCGACGCCGCGUGGGGGAUGACGGCCUUCGGGUUGUAAACUCCUUUCAGCCAUGACGAAGCCCUUGAGGUGACGGUAGUGGUAGAAGAAGCACCGGCUAACUACGUG